AGUGAUCGUGUGAUGGUUAUGAGAAAUCGUCCCGGGCUGUUGAGCUGGACGUUAUCCCUAUUUGGGAUACCCCCUGGACAACGGGAAGCCGGUCGCAGUUGAUUCUGGACCCUAUGCUCCUUCUGGAAAGCCGUCUGAUAAAGAGAUGUGCCGUGCUCAAUGGGGUGAGACGAAGCCUGGCAAUGCCAGAAGACCGCCGAACUGAGAGUAGGCCGUGCUAUAUGCCGAGAUCAAAACUAGGAAC
rnacentral:lncRNA from 1 species